rnacentral:lncRNA from 1 species
GAUCCAGGCCCUGGAGCCAGCGCAGGACAGAACGACUCAGGCGGGAGCUCCUAGGCGGAUGUGGAUACACCAGACAUUUCUUUGGCUUCUUUUCUGCGGGAACUGCUGGUGGUGUAGAUAAUUGUAGCUUUCACUCCUCAUCUAAGAAGCUUCUCUUGGGAGCAAAUGGAAACCAUCACAGAAAACCACAACUGGGCACAAUAGAGAGAUCCACAGAUGAUGAGAAGCCUGGCUCCAAUGGACCCAACGCCAUCCAUCAUAGCUCUGCCACUAUGGCUCAAAAAACAUUGGGGAAGAGAGGGAGGAAAGGCUACAAGAGCUAGAGCACGAGAAAGUCUUCUGUGAAUCCAGUUCUCCUGUAAAUGGCUGCAUGAGCAAGACCAUGACAAUGGCAACAUCAGUGGAAGUGUUUACGUGAAAGGGAGAAAGUAUCACAGGGUCCCAUUUCUAGACAAAGAACUAUGGAUCACGAAUGACUUCUGGGAGAAGGAGAAUCGGCUUCUACUAAGAAUGAACACACUUAUUGGUUUUCCAGUGCAGAGGGGAAAUUGAUAUACAAAUGACUAACCAAAUCAGGUUCUAUCAAGAUACACAUACACAUACAUAUGUGUGUAUGUUAAUACAUAUAUACACAUAUAAAUAUAAACACAUAUACAUAUACAUAUAUAUAUAUAUUUAUAUAUAUAUAACCUUGGAGAGAGAGAGGGAGAGAGAGAGCAUAAUAAUCAAGGAAAAUAUCAAGUUAAGGAAUAAUUGGAGAAGUUGGAGUGAAGGGAGGGUAUCUGGGAGGGUGGCAGGAAGGAAAGAGGAGGUGGGGGUGAUACAAUACUAUUUUAAUCAAUAAAUAUGUAUUUUAAAAAUAAGACAUUAGCUUUGACCAUGCCUAUGUCAAGUUGUUUAGCAUAUAUUUAGUACUAAUUUGUUGUAAUGUUAAUUUCUGCCUUUUUAAGUCCUUUGGGUUUUUUUUCCAAUUUAUUUAUUUAUUCACUUUACAUCUCUGGAUCAGCCCCGCUCUGCUCCCAGUACCCCUUUACACAAGAACCCCCAGUUAUGUGCUGGCUUUGAGAUAGACUGUAGCAGAUUUUUCUUCUUCUUCUUUUUAUUUUAGGCUAGGAAUUAUUUAUUGAAUAAAUUGACAGUGGUAACUGUG